rnacentral:lncRNA from 1 species
CUGCUCUACCCAAAAUUACAACCAGCAUUACCGCAAAAAUGGAAGAGGAAAGUGGAAGGGGGAAAAAGUAAGGAACUUGUCUGUCGGCCCUGCAUUAAAGACCAUAAUUGACCAUCAGGCUCCAUGUUGUAGUUCAGGUAGUGACAUCAGGCUCCAUGUUGUAGUUCAGGUAGUGACAUCAGGCUCCAUGUUGUAGUUCAGGUAGUGACAUCAGGCUCCAUGUUGUAGUUCAGAUAGUGACAUCAGGCUCCAUGUUGUAGUUCAGGUAGUGACAUCAGGCUCCAUGUUGUAGUUCAGGUAGUGACAUCAGGCUCCAUGUUGUAGUUCAGAUAGUGACAUCAGGCUCCAU